CCCUCGCUGUGUGUUAUACGUGUCACACGGGACUGCCGGUUUUAAGCCGGAGGAAGGCGAGGAUGAAGUCAAGUCAGCAUGGCCUUUAUAUCCUGGGCUACACACACGCUACAAUGGUCUGUACAACAGGUUGCCAAACCGCGAGGUGGAGCCAAUCCCUAAAACAGGCCUCAGUUCAGAUUGCAGGCUGCAACCCGCCUGCAUGAAGCCGGAGUUGCUAGUAACCGCAGGUCAGCUAUACUGCGGUGAAUACGUUCCCGGGUCUU
rnacentral:rRNA from 1 species